GUGCCUUCGGGAACUCUAAGACAGGUGCUGCAUGGCUGUCGUCAGCUCGUGUUGUGAAAUGUUGGGUUAAGUCCCGCAACGAGCGCAACCCUUAUCCUUGUUUGCCAGCGAGUCAUGUCGGGACCUCCAGGGAGACUGCCGGUGAUAAACCGGAGGAAGGUGGGGACGACGUCAAGUCAUCAUGGCCCUUACGAGUAGGGCUACACACGUGCUACAAUGGCGCAUACAGAGGGCAGCAAGCUAGCGAUAGUGAGCGAAUCCCAAAAAGUGCGUCGUAGUCCGGAUUGGAGUCUGCAACUCGACUCCAUGAAGUCGGAAUCGCUAGUAAUCGUAGAUCAGAAUGCUACGGUGAAUACGUUCCCGGGCCUUGUACACACCGCCCGUCACACCAUGGGAGUGGGCUGCAAAAGAAGUGGGUAGUUUAACCUUUCGGGGAGGACGCUCACCACUUUGUGGUUCAUGACUGGGGUGAAGUCGUAACAAGGUAGCGCUAGGGGAACCUGGCGCUGGAUCACCUCCUUAUACGAAGAU
rnacentral:rRNA from 1 species